rnacentral:rRNA from 1 species
CUACGGGGGGCUGCAGUGGGGAAUAUUGGACAAUGGGGGCAACCCUGAUCCAGCCAUGCCGCGUGUGUGAAGAAGGCCCUCGGGUUGUAAAGCACUUUCAGUGAGGAAGAACGCCUGGUGGUUAAUACCCAUCAGGAAAGACAUCACUCACAGAAGAAGCACCGGCUAACUCCGUGCCAGCAGCCGCGGUAAUACGGAGGGUGCGAGCGUUAAUCGGAAUUACUGGGCGUAAAGCGCGCGUAGGUGGCUUGAUAAGCCGGUUGUGAAAGCCCCGGGCUCAACCUGGGAACGGCAUCCGGAACUGUCAAGCUAGAGUGCAGGAGAGGAAGGUAGAAUUCCCGGUGUAGCGGUGAAAUGCGUAGAGAUCGGGAGGAAUACCAGUGGCGAAGGCGGCCUUCUGGACUGACACUGACACUGAGGUGCGAAAGCGUGGGUAGCAAACAGGAUUAGAUACCCCUGUAGUC